rnacentral:rRNA from 1 species
UUGAACGCUAGCGGGAUGCUUUACACAUGCAAGUCGAACGGCAGCACGAGAGAGCUUGCUCUCUUGGUGGCGAGUGGCGGACGGGUGAGUAAUGUAUCGGAACGUGCCCAGUAGCGGGGGAUAACUACUCGAAAGAGUGGCUAAUACCGCAUACGCCCUACGGGGGAAAGGGGGGGAUCGCAAGACCUCUCACUAUUGGAGCGGCCGAUAUCGGAUUAGCUAGUUGGUGGGGUAAAGGCCUACCAAGGCGACGAUCCGUAGCUGGUUUGAGAGGACGACCAGCCACACUGGGACUGAGACACGGCCCAGACUCCUACGGGAGGCAGCAGUGGGGAAUUUUGGACAAUGGGGGAAACCCUGAUCCAGCCAUCCCGCGUGUGUGAUGAAGGCCUUCGGGUUGUAAAGCACUUUUGACAGGGAAGAAAUGAUAGAGGCUAAUAACCUCUGUAGAUGACGGUACCUGUA